AACGCGAAGAACCUUACCAGCCCUUGACAUCCUGCGAACUUUCUAGAGAUAGAUUGGUGCCUUCGGGAACGCAGUGACAGGUGCUGCAUGGCUGUCGUCAGCUCGUGUCGUGAGAUGUUCGGUUAAGUCCGGCAACGAGCGCAACCCACGUCCUUAGUUGCUAACAGUUCGGCUGAGAACUCUAAGGAGACUGCCUGGGUAACCAGGAGGAAGGUGUGGACGACGUCAAGUCAUCAUGGCCCUUACGGCCAGGGCUACACACGUGCUACAAUGGGAUAUACAAAGAGCAGCGAUACCGCGAGGUGGAGCAAAUCUCUUAAAAUAUCUCCCAGUUCGGAUAGUACUCUGCAACUCGAGUGCUUGAAGUUGGAAUCGCUAGUAAUCGUAGAUCAGCAAUGCUACGGUGAAUACGUUCCCGGGUCUUGUACACACCGA
rnacentral:rRNA from 1 species